ensembl:lncRNA
CUUGUCUUAGCUUCUCUACCUGCCCUGGGAGUGAACAGAAUUUCCAACCACUUCAAACUGCACUGCUGAAACUCCAAGGGCUACCCCUGCUCACACUCAGAGAGCCUGGUACAGGAGGGUAGCAGGAAUUGGUCUCUGAAAUAGGAAUACCAGGCUACUACUGUGGGUCAUUCACCGCUUCACAGGGGAUCUUCAGAGCUGUCCAAGUGCAAGAGUUGCCAGAGGGGGAUGCACGUCUUAAAGAGCAACUGCUUCAGUGUUUAAAUGAAAAGCACCGACAAAUAGGAGGCACAGGUGGGUCAAAACCAGAGUUCCUUCAAGAAGUCCACAUCAAGACUCUGGAUCUUUUGCCCAGAACAUCACAUAGAAAAGAGGGUUCGUGGUUUAGUUUAAGCUAAGGAUGUCGACUGAAGGAACCAAUCCUGGAUUACCUGAGCCAUUCCUAGACUCCCUAGACAUAGUUAGUUUUAUACUUAAAAAGAGGACCCCAGAAAAGGACAAACAGAAAGGAUGGUACAGAGACAGAAGCAGGGAUUAGUUCAAGCCAUCCAUCACAAACCCUAGAAGACCAGGGAAGCUACCAAAGUUGGAGACAUUGAGGAACACCCUCCUCUAUUGUGUGUGGAAGGACCAGAGCU